GACGAACGCUGGCGGCGUGCCUAAUACAUGCAAGUAGAACGCACAGUUUAUACCGUAGCUUGCUACACCAUAGACUGUGAGUUGCGAACGGGUGAGUAACGCGUAGGUAACCUGCCUGGUAGCGGGGGAUAACUAUUGGAAACGAUAGCUAAUACCGCAUAAUAUUGAUUAUUGCAUGAUAAUUAAUUGAAAGGUGCAAUUGCACUACUACCAGAUGGACCUGCGUUGUAUUAGCUAGUAGGUGAGGUAACGGCUCACCUAGGCGACGAUACAUAGCCGACCUGAGAGGGUGAUCGGCCACACUGGGACUGAGACACGGCCCAGACUCCUACGGGAGGCAGCAGUAGGGAAUCUUCGGCAAUGGACGAAAGUCUGACCGAGCAACGCCGCGUGAGUGAAGAAGGUUUUCGGAUCGUAAAGCUCUGUUGUAAGAGAAGAACGGGUGUGAGAGUGGAAAGUUCACACUGUGACGGUAUCUUACCAGAAAGGGACGGCUAACUACGUG
rnacentral:rRNA from 1 species